AGGAAUGGGGAGGUGAAGGGGUAGGGGCUACAGAGGGAAAACCAGAAUCCCCAGAAAGCAGCAUUUAUUGAGCAGGGUGGAGGGGGGAGCGCACAAAAUGUUCCACCUUUUUGUUUUGAGUUUUACUGACUGGACAAGAGGAGAUAACAUCCUGCAAUUGUGUACGUAAUUCAUCCUCCAACCACAAGGGAGAGGAAAGCAACGGAGCGCAUCGUUCAAUUCUAUCGGUGUAUGGGCUGGGCAGCUGCCUGCUGACUCCUGAUUGCAGAGAGACGGCUAAGCUGAGAGGCUCCAGGAGGUAGAAGUGACACUGGAUUCCGAGAAGCUGCUUGGAAGAGAGGCUCGACACAUCAAAUACUACUCGGCAAACUCUCUCUCCCUCUCUCUGCUCCCACUCUCUCCUCUGCAUCCUCUCUCUCUCUCCUGCUCCGUGUCAUUCCCCCUCUCACGUCCAAGUUAAGGGUCUCUACUCCACUCCUCUCCUGCACUCUUUUCCCCAACCCCAUAAGCUUUGUCAUUUCUCUCUCCUUCUCUUCCCCCCGCCCAUUGUUUUCAGUGUCAUUUCUCUUAUUUUGUCUUGCUGGCCCAGAGUUACUUUAAAGCUGUAAAUUAAAAUGCCUCAGAGCCCUCUCCCCCUCCCCUUGGUCAGUUUCACAUUUGGCAGCUUGACUGAAACAGGAAACUUGGCAAUCACACCGUCCAUACAACUCUAUUACACAGAGUUAUUGCAACUCUACUACACAAAGGAAUAACCCAAGAGGUGUCAUGUGGGGAAACCAGCAACACUGAGAAAUUGAAUUAAAUGAACCCACAAUACCUGUCACAAAAUGUCUCUAGAGGUCCCAAAUAUAACAUUUUGAGAGAAGGGUGACAUAGUAACUCUUUCUCCCUUUCCCUUUGAACACGUGCAAAAAGAGAUAAGGAGUGCAAGAGACUUAUUUAGCGGCUCCACUUCACUCCCCAUGUCAUGUGACGGAGUAGACGGAGCUGAAGCAUCUGUGUGUGGAGAGAAUCUUUCGGCACCUGUGAUUGGCUCUUCAACAUGUGUCCAAGAGCCACAUAAAGCAUAAUUUUUAUAUACUGUAACUCUCACCCGGUUCCAUUGUGAAAAAGAAUAGCUUUAACAAACAGAAUCCUACUACUGGAUUUGAUCAAUCUUUACGCUACGCUUAAUAUUUUACUUGCUGUAUGUUUACAGACUAUGCUACUGGUCUAAUCACUCUGUUGAUGGUUCAUGCUGACAUAUCAGUGUAUAUACACAUAUAUUGGUGUAUACACACCAAAUAUUCACAGACUUAGUUUAGACCAUGGAACGUUUACACUUUCAUGAUCCACCUUUAUCUGAUUCCAGCUGCACAUAUUUUAGCAUUCUAGAUGUACUGUUUUGGAGUAACACAAACACUGCUCCCAUCACAGCAAGAGACCAUGCAUUCAGCUGUACUGAUAUCUUGUUCUGCAUGUAGCCAGUGAUCUGUACUGUAUAUGACCUGUCUGGUCAUAUGGCUAAUGUGACAUAAUAGCGCCCUCUGUUGUUGAAUGUGUAACUCGCAAAAUAAAUGAGACUCAUCUCUC